UACCUCGUGGCGCAACGGUAGCGUGUCUGACUCUAGAUCGGAAAGGUACAUGUUCAAAUCAUGUCGGGUUCA